rnacentral:rRNA from 1 species
AUUGAACGCUGGCGGCAUGCUUUACACAUGCAAGUCGAACGGUAACAGGCCGCAAGGUGCUGACGAGUGGCGAACGGGUGAGUAAUGCAUCGGAACGUGCCCAGUCGUGGGGGAUAACGCAGCGAAAGCUGUGCUAAUACCGCAUACGAUCUAUGGAUGAAAGCGGGGGACCGUAAGGCCUCGCGCGAUUGGAGCGGCCGAUGUCAGAUUAGGUAGUUGGUGGGGUAAAGGCCUACCAAGCCGACGAUCUGUAGCUGGUCUGAGAGGACGACCAGCCACACUGGGACUGAGACACGGCCCAGACUCCUACGGGAGGCAGCAGUGGGGAAUUUAGAACAAUGGGCGCAAGGCUGAUCCAGCAAUGCCGCGUGCAGGAAGAAGGCCUUCGGGUUGUAAACUGCUUUUGUACGGAAUGAAACGGUCUGGGUUAAUACCCUGGGCUAAUGGCAGUACCGUAAGAAUAAGCACCGGCUAACUACGUGCCAGCCGCCGCCGUAAAAC